GCUAGCGUAGCUUAACUAAAGCAUAACACUGAAGAUGUUAAAAUGGGCCCUAGAUAGGUCCCGCAAGCA
rnacentral:tRNA from 1 species